UGGGGUACAGCUCAGCGGUAAAGCACUUGCCUGGCAUGCACAAGGUCCUGGGUUUGAUCCCCAGCACCACAA
rnacentral:tRNA from 1 species